UGGGCUUGUGGCCUAGCCAGGAUAUGGCGUCAGCCUCCUAAGCUGAAUGUCGGGGGUCCGAAUCCCCCCAAGCCCGUC
rnacentral:tRNA from 1 species